GACGAACGCUGGCGGCGUGCUUAACACAUGCAAGUCGAACGGAUAGGCCCUGCUUUUGUGGGGUGCUCGAGUGGCGAACGGGUGAGUUACACGUGAGUAUCCUGCCCUUGACUUUAGGAUAACUUCAGGACACUGGGGCUAAUACCUGAUAGGAGCUCCUGCUGCAUGGUGGGGGUUGGAAAGUUUCGUCGGUUGGGGCUGGACUCGCGGCUUAUCAGCUUGUUGGUUGGGUAGUGGCCUACCAAGGCUUUGACGGGUAGCCUGCCUGGGAGGGUGGACGGCCACAUUAGAACUGCGAUACGGCCCAGACUCCUACGGGAGGCAGCAGUGGAGAAUAUUGCACAAUGGGCGGGAGCCUGAUGCAGCGACGCCGCGUGCGGGAUGACGUCCAUCGGGUUGUAAACCGCUUUCGCCUGUGACGAAGCGUGAGUGACGGUAAUGGGUGAAGAAGCACCGGCUAACUACGUG
rnacentral:rRNA from 1 species